GUGCACGGUGCAAGCUAUUGGUGAAUCUACCAUUCUGUGGUCUGGAGGACUGUGGACUUCUUCUCACAGCUCUACUAGGCAGUGCCCCAGUGGGGACAUUGUGAGGGCUCUGACCCCACGUUUUCCCUCUGCCCUGCCCUAGUAGAGGUUUUCCAUGAGGACUCUAUCACGGCAGCAGACUUCUUCCUGGAUAUCCACACAUUUCCAUACAUCCUCUGAAAUCUAUGUGGAGGAUCUCAAGCCUCAACAGUUGCCUCUGUGCACCCACAGGCACAACACCAAGUAGAAGCCAGCAAGGCUUAAGGCUUGCACCCUUUGAAGCAAUGGCCUGAGCUGUAACUUGCUCCCUUUUAGCCAUGGCUGGAGCUGGAGUGGCUGGGAUUUAGGGUGCCAUGUCCCAAGGCUACACAGAGCAGUGGGUCCCUGGGCCUGACCCACAAAAUCAUUUUUCCCUCUGUGGUGGUUAAAACUGACUGUCAACUUGAUUGAAGGAUGCAAAGUAUUGUUCUUGAGUGUGUCUGUAAGAAGAUUAACAUUUGAGUCAAUGGACUGGGAAAUGCAGGCCCAACCUCAAUCUGAGUGGGCAAAGAAGGCAGAAGAACGUGUGAGAAGCUGACUUGCUGGAUAUUCCAGCUUUCAUCUUUUUCCUGUGCUGGAUGCUUCUUGCCCUCAAAAGUCAGACUCCAAGUUCUUCAGCUCUUGGACUUAUACCACAGACUAAAAGCAGCACUCUCAGCUUCCUUACUUUUGAGGUUUUGGGACUCAAACUGGCUUCCUUGCACCUCAGCUUGCAGAUGACCUAUUGUGGAACUUCACCUUAUGAUCAUCUUUUCAAAAAACGUGAAACAGAAUACAGAAUAUUUUCAUCACCCAAGAAAUUUCCUGCUUUCCUGCUUUCAACUCCAUUCCCCAUUCAACCACAGGAUUGUUUUGGCUAUUUCAGAUCCUUUGCUUUUCCAACAGGUUUAGCAAAAGCAAGCCGUACAGGAAACAUGAUAGUGUCUGCUUCUGGAGAGGCCUGAGGGAACUUGCAAUCAUGGCGGAAGGAAAUGUAGGAGCAGGCAUCUUCACAUGGCUUGAGCAGGAGGAAGAGAGAGAGGGAAAGUGCUGCAGACUUCUAAACAAACCGAUCUCAUGAGAAUUCUAUCACAAGAACAGCACUAAGAGAAUUUUGCUGAACCAUGCAUGAGAAACCACCCCCACGACAAAUCAUCUCCCCCCAGGCCCCACCUCCAACAUCAGGGGUUACAUUUCAACAUGAGAUUUGGGGAAGGACACGGAUCCAAACCAUAUUACUGGUACAAUCAAAUAUUAUGAAGAACAAAUUAUCAAUAUCUACUAAGUGACGAUGUGCAUGCCCUUCAACUGUGAAUGUCUAGUUGAAUUUUUUCAUCCUGUAUCCAUAUAUGUACGAAGAUGACAUGUACAAGAAUGUUUAUAGUUUCAUUAUUUGCAACCAUAAAAAAGUGAAAUAGGGCUUGUCACUACUACACAUAUAAAUAUAUUUGAAUAUCCAAAUUAAUUUGAUAGAGGAUGAAAAUUAACUUGCUUUCUAUUAAGAAGUAUAAAACUCAAAAUUAAAAUUAAAUAAUGUAGUCAUUGAAAAAGUAUAAGUACAGAGGACACGAUUUUCACAGUUUUUUAAAUGUCCACAAUGAAUACAUGAUACUUUUAAAGCUCCUUGUAGAUCGAAGAAAUGCGUAAACAAAUUAUGAGAAAGGACACUUACCAACUUGAUCAUGUCAAAGGUAAAUGGGAAAGGUAAUAAAAUUAGGUCAAAGUUCAAAAAGAUACUUGAAGAUAUCUAUUUCUUAUUAUUUUUUGUAACAGGACUUAUUGAUGAAUAUAGUUCACAUAACACAAAGUUCCCCUGGUUAAAGUGUACAAUUCAAUGCUAUUUAGAACACUUGCAGAGUUAUGUGACUAACAUUAUAAUUUAAUUUUGGGAAUUUCUAUCAAUAAAAAUCCCUUAAACAAUUAUAAUAUUUUAUUAUUGAAAUA
rnacentral:lncRNA from 1 species